rnacentral:rRNA from 1 species
UACGUAGGGUGCGAGCGUUGUCCGGAAUUACUGGGCGUAAAGAGCUCGUAGGUGUUUUGUCGCGUUGUCCGUGAAAACUCACAACUCAAUUGUGGGCGUGCGGGCGAUACGGGCAGACUGGAGUACUGCAGGGGAGACUGGAAUUCCUGGUGUAGCGGUGGAAUGCGCAGAUAUCAGGAGGAACACCGGUGGCGAAGGCGGGUCUCUGGGCAGUAACUGACGCUGAGGAGCGAAAGCGUGGGGAGCGAACAGG